GGUCAUAGCUCAGUGGUUGAGCGCUUGCCUCAAAUGCAUGAGGCACUGGGUUGGAGCCUCAGAACCA
rnacentral:tRNA from 1 species